rnacentral:rRNA from 1 species
GACGAACGCUGGCGGCGUGCUUAACACAUGCAAGUCGAACGGUAAGGCCCUUCGGGGUACGCGAGUGGCGAACGGGUGAGUAACACGUGGGUGAUCUGCCCUGCACUUCGGGAUAAGCCUGGGAAACUGGGUCUAAUACCGGAUAGGACCACUGCCUGCAUGGGUGGUGGUGGAAAGCUUUUGCGGUGUGGGAUGGGCCCGCGGCCUAUCAGCUUGUUGGUGGGGUGAUGGCCUACCAAGGCGACGACGGGUAGCCGGCCGGAGAGGGGGACCGGCCACGCUGGGACUGAGAUACGGCCCAGACUCCUACGGGAGGCAGCAGUGGGGAAUAUUGCACAAUGGGCGCAAGCCUGAUGCAGCGACGCCGCGUGAGGGAUGACGGCCUUCGGGUUGUAAACCUCUUUCAGCACCGACGAAGCGCAAGUGACGGUAGGUGCAGAAGAAGGACCGGCCAACUACGUGCCAGCAGCCGCCGUAA